AGACGGCGCUGCUGCAGUGCGUCUUCGCACUUACGCGGAGCGGUAAUGUGAGGAAGCCUCCCGCCAAACAGAUGAGGGAGGAGGAGGAGGGGAGAGGCCAGAGAGAGAAGCGGCUUUCGGGAAGGAAAGUGUGAUCUAGUAGGUGGAAUAGUCCUCUCCAAACUUUGACCUGAGGUAAUGACCCUCUAUUUGGAUUUGGAUUACACAAAGUUUAACGUUUUUUGGAAAAAUCCUACCUAGGUAAUGUGUAGUUCUCAAUGCAUCAUGUCAGGCAGCUUAUGAUGCCAAUUUGUCCCAUGGAAAGAAAAAUGUACUGUAUUUCACUGUGCUGAAUGCAACUGCCAAUCAAGAUAGUCUGCAGCCUACCUGUGGACCUUAAUGAUUUCACAUGUUCUGCGGAAGAAUUUCUCCCCCACCUCCAAUGACUAUGGCAUUCCUUGGGAAAGUUAGCUUGGUAUUUACUUUUCCCCAGCAGGUCCCAAGCUGACCAAAAAAAUAAAUAAAAAUAAAAAAUAAAAUCAACAACAACAACAACAACAACAAAAACACAAAACAACAAUCAGUUAGCCAGGCUGUUUCAAUGGCCCAAUAAGUUCCAUGAUAGCAAGAAUUCUAUGAAUAAUAAUGGGACAUGGAAUCCCAUGCAGCCUCGCGGAGAGCUCAGCCAAAUCACCCGGAAAUUCUGCUUCAUCACAGCCCUUUCUCUUGCCAUAAAACUGCUUGGGCUCUGUCUUUGCUUCCACAUCAUUUAAGCCUUUCUGCCGACCCUCCAGCAAUUCCAUCCCUGGGGCCUCCGCCCGUCACUAUGCUGGGGCUCCCCAGGGCUUCUCAAGAGGCUCCGUCAGCUCCAUCCUAGAGGCCUCUUCACAGCACCAGAUGAAGUCCACACCUCCUUUUGUAGGACGUUCAAGCAACACAGGCCAGAGUAAGGAUCAAAGUAAAAGUCAUCCUAAAUUCACCACUGAGAGAUACCACUGCCGGUAAACAGGAGACUGCUUUUUCGGAUGUCUACGCAUUUAUACAUCUUGCCCAGUAACAAUGGAGCUGUGGCUGGCGAAUCUGGAUGUUAUGCUGGGACAUUAUUUUUUCACGGGGUUUAAUUUCUCUGUCUCUUUAAAAGUUGAAUGGACACUGCUUCCAUUUCCCUUUGUGAUCAAUAGAGUGGGCUCAUAUUUGUAAUUUCUACACUCAUCAAAUUAUGUCAGUAGGACAUAAUUUCUUGAUGGCCACUUAAUCCUGUAAGUGAUUUGCUCAACACCUUUGAUUUUAAUUAAGUGGUUCCUGAGAAUUGUUAAAACAGCAAGCUGUGAAUGGAAAAUAGAUUCAGGAAUUUAAAUCACACUGAAUCCCUGGACAUGAGCUCUAUGAGGGUAGAGAAUUUUGUCUGUUUUGUACACUGCUGUCUCAACAAUAGCUGGCACUUACUAGGCAUUGAGUAAAUAUUUACGGAAUAAAUGAACGAGAGAAUCUAAUAAGAAAGAAUGACAACAGCUGAUAUACUUGGAUGCAGAAAAAAAGAAUGGAAUAACUUUGAAUAGUUUAAUGUCAAAGUGGAUCCCUUUUCUCAC
ensembl:lncRNA C21orf62-AS1 C21orf62 antisense RNA 1